UUGAACGCUGGCGGCGUGGCUAAAACAUGCAAGUCAGGGAGAUCCCCGCAAGGGGUGACACCGGCGGAAGGGUGAGUAAUACAUUCGAACGUACCCCGAGGUGGGGGAUAGGCGUGGGAAACUGCGCGUAAUACCCCAUGAGCUCUCCGGAGGAAAGCCGCAAGGCGCCUUGGGAGCGGCGAAUGUCCUAUCAGGUAGUUGGCGGGGUAAAGGCCCACCAAGCCGAAGACGGGUAGCAGGUGUGAGAGCACGGCCUGCCACAUCGGGACUGAGACACUGUCCGGACUCCUACGGGAGGCUGCAGUAACGAAUAUUCCGCAAUGGACGAAAGUCUGACGGAGCGACGCCGCGUGCAGGAAGAAGUCCCUCGGGAUGUAAACUGCUGUCAGGGGUGAGGAACACAAUGACCAACCCCAGAGGAAGCCACGGCUAACUCCG
rnacentral:rRNA from 1 species